AGAGUUUGAUCAUGGCUCAGAUUGAACGCUGGCGGCAGGCCUAACACAUGCAAGUCGAGCGGUAGCACAGAGAGCUUGCUCUCGGGUGACGAGCGGCGGACGGGUGAGUAAUGUCUGGGAAACUGCCUGAUGGAGGGGGAUAACUACUGGAAACGGUAGCUAAUACCGCAUAAUGUCGCAAGACCAAAGUGGGGGACCUUCGGGCCUCAUGCCAUCAGAUGUGCCCAGAUGGGAUUAGCUAGUAGGUGGGGUAACGGCUCACCUAGGCGACGAUCCCUAGCUGGUCUGAGAGGAUGACCAGCCACACUGGAACUGAGACACGGUCCAGACUCCUACGGGAGGCAGCAGUGGGGAAUAUUGCACAAUGGGCGCAAGCCUGAUGCAGCCAUGCCGCGUGUGUGAAGAAGGCCUUCGGGUUGUAAAGCACUUUCAGCGGGGAGGAAGGCGAUAAGGUUAAUAACCUUGUCGAUUGACGUUACCCGCAGAAGAAGCACCGGCUAACUCCGUGCCAGCAGCCGCGGUAAUACGGAGGGUGCAAGCGUUAAUCGGAAUUACUGGGCGUAAAGCGCACGCAGGCGGUCUGUCAAGUCGGAUGUGAAAUCCCCGGGCUUAACCUGGGAACUGCAUUCGAAACUGGCAGGCUAGAGUCUUGUAGAGGGGGGUAGAAUUCCAGGUGUAGCGGUGAAAUGCGUAGAGAUCUGGAGGAAUACCGGUGGCGAAGGCGGCCCCCUGGACAAAGACUGACGCUCAGGUGCGAAAGCGUGGGGAGCAAACAGGAUUAGAUACCCUGGUAGUCCACGCCGUAAACGAUGUCGAUUUGGAGGUUGUGCCCUUGAGGCGUGGCUUCCGGAGCUAACGCGUUAAAUCGACCGCCUGGGGAGUACGGCCGCAAGGUUAAAACUCAAAUGAAUUGACGGGGGCCCGCACAAGCGGUGGAGCAUGUGGUUUAAUUCGAUGCAACGCGAAGAACCUUACCUGGUCUUGACAUCCACAGAACUUUCCAGAGAUGGAUUGGUGCCUUCGGGAACUGUGAGACAGGUGCUGCAUGGCUGUCGUCAGCUCGUGUUGUGAAAUGUUGGGUUAAGUCCCGCAACGAGCGCAACCCUUAUCCUUUGUUGCCAGCGGUUAGGCCGGGAACUCAAAGGAGACUGCCAGUGAUAAACUGGAGGAAGGUGGGGAUGACGUCAAGUCAUCAUGGCCCUUACGACCAGGGCUACACACGUGCUACAAUGGCAUAUACAAAGAGAAGCGACCUCGCGAGAGCAAGCGGACCUCAUAAAGUAUGUCGUAGUCCGGAUUGGAGUCUGCAACUCGACUCCAUGAAGUCGGAAUCGCUAGUAAUCGUAGAUCAGAAUGCUACGGUGAAUACGUUCCCGGGCCUUGUACACACCGCCCGUCACACCAUGGGAGUGGGUUGCAAAAGAAGUAGGUAGCUUAACCUUCGGGAGGGCGCUUACCACUUUGUGAUUCAUGACUGGGGUGAAGUCGUAACAAGGUAACCGUAGGGGAACCUGCGGUUGGAUCACCU
rnacentral:rRNA from 1 species